rnacentral:miRNA from 1 species
CUAACCGUAACUUUGAAGUGCU